GGCCUCACUAUACAAAUAAGAUAGCACACAUUUUCAUAAAGGCCCUUCAGAUAACUUGCACACAUUUAAUAUUAGCCAUUUCGGCCUCACCACAUAUACAUAUCUUGUACAUCAAUUUCAUCAUAUCAAAACCACUUAUAUAUCAUUUCCUAACAUCACAAUUCAAAAUUCACAUAUGGUUCUAAUCAAUAUCUUAUAAGCAACUCAAACAGUUUUAUCAAUGUUUACAACAUAUUCUCAAGUUUACGACAAUCUGUCUUUCUGCACAACAGUCACUAAAUUAUUUAUAUCUGGAGCUACGAAACUCCGAAUUAAGUUCCAUA
rnacentral:lncRNA from 1 species